rnacentral:rRNA from 1 species
GGGGAAUUUUGCGCAAUGGGCGCAAGCCUGACGCAGCAAUGCCGCGUGAGGGAUGAAGGCUUUUGGGUUGUAAACCUCUUUCAUUGGGGACGAUGAUGACGGUACCGGCAGAAGAAGCCCCGGCUAACUUCUGCCCCCAGCCGCGGUAAUAUA